rnacentral:lncRNA from 1 species
GAAAUCGGUCAGCUUUGAAUAUCUUGGACUUGUUGACAGAUCGUCUCCAUAUUUCAUUUCUGUAGAUGACAGUAUUUCUUGAGAAAUCUUACUGGAGAAGUGGUGCCCAUGCCUAAGAGACUGAGGGGGCAGUAACACCAAUUGACUCUUCUUGCACCAUAUACUCAGCAGUGGAGGUAGGGGCUUGAGAAGCCCCUUGCCAUGAUCACUAGACGCGUACCAGGAGAAAUGUCCAGACUGAGGAAGUUCUCUAAAUUCCACAUAUAGUCUUCUCCAACAACAAAGGGCCAGGCUGUUCUUAUUCAUGAUCAUGUUUGGAACCAGAUCCAGAUAUGAAUUCAACUGUCAAACACUCCAGNNNNNNNNNNNUUCUCCUUGACUCCACUCAGAGGACAGGUGGUGCACCUCACCUUUCAUGUGGUCAGAUGUCCUAUGACAAAAUGUUCACCAUGGCAUGG